GCGGAAAGUGGCAGAAUAGUGCAUCGGUUUUAGAUACCGGGAAUGAGACAAGUAUGUUGGGCUCCUUCUGCA
rnacentral:tRNA from 1 species